UAAAAAGCAUGAAAAUAGAAUGAUUAAAUUCCACCAAAGGCAAUUAAAAAUCCCAACUUCCCAUAAAGCGUUCCCUACACCAAACGGAGUACCUUUACUUUCAUUCUCCCAAAGUAAGUAAUCUGGGCUAAGAGUCGGAUAAUGAGUCUGAUGUGUCUGACACAAAUGAGACGAAGGAACCUAACUGAAGCUACAGAGGCAAAGAAAUGUAACCUAAAGGGGAGAGGAAAGCUGGAAGAGAAACCCGAGAAGGGAACGGACAGAAGAGACUGACUAGUGGAGCAAAGGAGUGGGAAUCACUUCAAGGGAGAGAGCCUCCAGGACUGCGGAGAAACAGGGAUCUAGGUCCACGGAACCGGGCGUUUACGGAACCCGAAGGCUAAUGGGGAAACAAUGGGGGCGGUGAGACCGGGAGCAAACCGAGAGACGCUCAGGAGAGGGCGACUAGGCAGCACGGGACGGGGGUGGGGGGCGUAUGAAAGAGCAGAAGGCUGCAGUAGACAGAGGCGGUAGGGAGGUGAAAAGCUACGUGGAGAGGCAAGUUGGUCGAGUGUGAUGGGGUUUCGUGGCGCACCGGGCAGGAAAGCGAGGGUCUUCUAGGUACCCGGGGGUGGGGGAGUGGCUUAUCAGGGAUUUUUAGACAGGGAACGGAAGCCGUGAAGGCAGGUGUGAUGGAAGCAAAAAGCACACACCUCGGAGCAGCACAGGACCCGCCGUGCCAGACAAGACGACGGGAAGGAAGAGGCAGCUGAAGGGACCAUGGUGAACCAUGUGGAAUUGCUGAUGCUGGGUGAAGCCAGAAUAUGAGGAUACUCUAAAGUGAUUUUCGGCACAGUAAGAAUGGAAGAAUAAGAGGCAAAUGGCUUCAUCUGGGCCUCAAAUUCCUCUUCUGCAAAGGAAGAGGAUUGAGAAGGGCUCCAAAUUGCAAGUCCUUUGGCUGUCCAAAGCCAGAGAGAAUAAAAUCCUCCCAUCCUUACCCUGACUCUUGAAAGUAGCUGAGCAGAGACAUGCCUUUGUUUGAACAUGGAUGGAAGAACUUGGUGCUCUGCACGAACACCGAAGCUUCCCCAGACUCCUGAGAAGCUGGUGGGACUCACUGCACACAGCACAUGAGAGGAAACCUCUCCCCUUCAUGCAAGGUUGGCCUCGCUUGGAGCAGUUGCAGAUUAAGAGACAGAGUUCUUGGCCUUAGUUCUUAAGACUCUGACACCUGAGAGUCAUCAUUCCAGUUGGAAUGAAAGCAACAUGGAACAUAUAGGUGUGGAGGGAUCAGCAAGCCAGGAAACAAAGACCAACAUGGCAAUAACAACUCUCCACAUGUGUGCAGCAUUUCCUGUAUUCCCGGUGCUUCCUUAAAUUAUUUGUUUUAAUCCUUACAACAGGCUGAGGGGUGGUAACAUUUAAAAGUGUAGACAUGAAGCUUCAAGGAGUUAAGUGACUCGCCCAAGGCCUCCUUGUUGGUAAACAGAGACCCGAGGGAAUUGAAUUGAGGUCUCUCUGACUCCAAAGUCUAAGCUCUUAACCACUCAUGCUAAUCAUUAACCGCACUUGCCUAACCAUUCAAUCUGUUCUUGGAGGUCCAUACUGGACACUAAAUUCUAAACACGUUCUGUGUUUUAUUUAUUGCUUUAUUUUUAUUUAUGUAAAAGCUAAAUGUAUAGUUCUCAUCCUGUAAGAUGAACACUAUCGUUCUCAGCUAAUCU